GUUGGUAAUGGCUGUAUCCUGGAAUACUUUAUUAAGCCAGAAUAAAUAUUCACGGUAGUGUACGUUGGCUACCUCUGUUUCAUCCAUGUAAAAAGAAGCAACUGUAACACGGCGGGGAAUAUUAUUCCAGUCACGCAUUACAUCUUCCUCCGUUGCACCCAUGGUAAAAGUACCGCCCUGUACAAAUACAAGACCGGGGCCUUUGG
rnacentral:misc_RNA from 1 species